GCAAAGGUAGCAUAAUCACUUGGCCUUUAAUUGGGGUCUAGUAUGAAAGGACAAACGAAUAAAAGCUGUCUCUAAUAAUAUAAAUGAAAUUACUUAAGUAGUGAAAAUUCUACUAAGUUAAUAUAAAAGACGAGAAGACCCUUAGAGUUACACGACUAAUAAAAUAGGUUUUAUAAUCGGUUUGUUGGGGCAACAAAAUUCGCACAUACUAAUCAAUUUAUUAAUUUAAUUUUAUAUGACGACUAAUUGUAAGAAUAAUAUAACUACCUUAGGGAUAACAGCAUAAUUUAAUAAAGAUUGUGACCUCGAUGUUGGAU
rnacentral:rRNA from 1 species